UGAAAAAGAGGCUUCAGACACGUCAGGCUAAUCGAAAGUCAUCAGUCAGUGUUACAUCGUUUAUUUUGCGAAUUCAUCAGACAAGGUAGCGGUAUUGUAACAACCAAAUAAGUGCAAGAAAUAGCGGAGACAUUGGUGAACUAAACAGCCAGAAAUAAUGGCGUCAAAUGACUUAGGAGACUGGUAUAGGGGUAUCCCCCAAAUGACUCGGUACUGGUUCACUGGCUCAGUUGUUCUUCCUUUGCUGGGAAGAUUCGGUGUUUUCUCGCCUAUGACGAUGAUCUUGGAUUAUUAUGCCGUAUUUCAUCAUUUUCACAUUUGGAGGCCAGUGACGGCACUGUUUUACUUCCCUCUUUCACCCGCCACAGGAUUCCAAUAUCUCAUUUUACUCUACUUCUUAUAUUCCUAUUCCACAAGACUUGAAACAGGUCUAUUUGAUGGAAAACCUGCAGAUUAUUUAUUCCUGUUAGUUUUCAACUGGCUGUGCCUGGUGCUGAUUGGUUUUAUAAUUGGAUUACCAUUACUAAUGGACCCCAUGGUGAUGAGUGUGCUCUACAUCUGGUGUCAACUGAACAGAGAUCAGAUUGUAUCCUUCUGGUUUGGGACACAAUUCAAGGCUAUGUACUUGCCGUGGGUGCUACUGGCAUUUAACAUGAUAAUUCGUGGAGGAGGUGUUCAGGACAUCAUAGGCAUCAUAGUGGGCCACCUGUACUUCUUCCUGAUGUUCAAAUAUCCACAAGACUUUGGUGGCAGAAGAUUUUUAAGCACACCAGAAAUAUUCUAUAAAUGGUUUCCUAACCGCAGAGGGGGUGUGGCAGGAUUUGGAAUGGCCCCAGAAAGUCGGCGGAGAGAUGAUGGCGGAGCAGGAGGGGGUCGCCCCUGGGGGAGAGGUCAGCAAUUAGGGGGAAACUGAGGCCAGACGUGAAAUAUACACCUUUGUUUUUGAUAUAUUGAAGAGACAGACUGAAAAAUUAUCUCCUUUCUAUUGUGAAGUGAAGUUUGCUGACAAAAAACAAAGACCAAAGAUUAGAAUAUAAGGAACUGGCAACAGCAUCAACAGAAACAUUAAAUCUCAAACAUAAAGGAUGUCAGGAAGCAGAUUUCUUUCCUAACAUUUUGUUUCAAUAUCUUUCCAAAAGGCAGCAGAACUGUGCAUUUGUGCUGCAUAUGAUAUUUUACCCAUAAUGGAUAAUAAUUUGCUGCAAUUACUGCAGCUGCUGUCAUUAUUAUUGGAUGACCACAACCUGCUUGGAUAAAUAUCUGAACAUAAAUCAAAAUCACCAUUUCAUUGUGUGAUAAAAUAGAAGAUGUGGUAACAUCAGCAGGAAAAAAAACCUGCUUUCAUUACUACCAUGCCUAACCCCAAGAACGAAGUACAGUAUCACAUAAAAUAAAGUAAAAUUUCAGUAACAUUUUUUAAUAAUGAAGUAUUGAAAAGACUGCAAGUAAAUUUUAAGAUAUACAAGUGAGCAGUUGACCAACGACACAAAUUAUAUUUAUAUAUGCACUGAAGUGUUUUGUGUCAGUGCUAGACUUCCUUAGGGAAAUAAUUUAAUUUCCUUAAGUUUUGUGGAGUAUGAUUUGCCACACAUUGCUAACGCUGAAUGAUAAAUUUUGUGUGGCAUUGGCGUUAUUGUGGUAUUGUCAAAACUUUGUCUUUGCAUCCCAUUUUAUAAAAUGUUGCAACAGAUAUAGAUUAUUGAUCGAAUUUUUUAAAACUCAAUUAAAUUAGUCUAAUUCAAAUUCUGCCCUGCAUAUUUUUUGUUGAUUUAUGAAGCACUGACAGGCCUAAGCGCAAUUACAGUGUUCUGAAAGUUUUCUAGUUAUUUUCAUCUGCAUGUUGGAAACCUAAAACACUGGAUAAAGAUGACAACACUACGUUCAUUUUGCAUGUACAGACACAGAUGUGUCUGUACAUAUAGCCGUCACCUGCGCCUGUCAUCACUGUCGCCGUCGCUGUGCACUCGGCGAUAACACGAUAAGUGGAAUAUUUUACCGUUUUAUGACACAGAUGGGUUUGUCAAGGUUCUAGGAGACAAGGAGACAGAUAGGUUAUUGGGAUGUCAUAUAAUUGCUUCUGUUGCUGGUGAAUUAAUCAAUGAAGCAGUGUUAGCUAUGGAGUAUGGAGCGUCUUGUGAAGAUGUUGCUAGGGUCUGUCACGCUCACCCUACGGUUGCUGAAGCAUUACGAGAGGCCAACCUAGCAGCUUACUGUGGGAAACCUAUCAACUUUUAAACAUACUUGGAAUGUACUUUUAACCUCCAGUGAAUGCUGCAGUGACUUUAUAUAAGAGAUUGAAACAGCAUAAUGUGGGAGUUGUCAAAAAAAGUUUGGGAUUCGGUGUAGCUUUGAGAUGUGUGGAAGAUUUGACACAGUUGAAUAGUGAUGUGGGAUUACUUAUAGUCUGUCACUGCCUCAAUAAUAUAUGUUAAGAUGCAAGGCAAAAGCAACACAAGAAGACAGUACUGUGGAAACACAUUAAGACUGGCUUUGUCUGAUAAGCUCAAAUAGUGUACAUGUUUAACACAAAGAUCCAGAAUUGUGACAUUCUUUCCCGUUUCUAAUAAAUGUUUAAAAAGGUGGAACAUUCAAAUAACUUGCAUAAGAAAAUGUUAAUCUCCCUGUUCAUCAGCUUUAUAUCUCAAGUUCUGCUAGUUCAAGUUCUUUGCAUGAUCAAACUGAUCAGAGCGUCAGUUAUUGGUUUCUGUAAUGGUAUUAGUUCACUAAAAGAAUGUGAAAUACACUCCUUAAGAGUUAUAACACACUGCUAAUGUAUUUAUAUGUAUUUCUUUUCUGGAUU
rnacentral:misc_RNA from 1 species